GACGAACGCUGGCGGCGUGCUUAACACAUGUAAGUCGAACGGUAACAGGCCUUCGGGCGCUGGCGAGUGGCGGACGGGUGAGUAACGCGUAGGAAUCUGCCUCAUAGUGGGGGACAACGUGUGGAAACGCACGCUAAUACCGCAUACGCUCUACGGGGGAAAGCGGGGGACCUUCCGGCCUCGCGCUACGAGAUGAGACUGCGUUAGAUUAGCUACUUGGUAGGGUAAAGGCCUACCAAGGCGACGAUCUAUAGCUGGUCUGAGAGGUCGAUCAGCCACACUGGGACUGAGACACGGCCCAGACUCCUACGGGAGGCAGCAGUGGGGAAAAUUGGACAAUGGGCGCAAGCCUGAUCCAGCAAUACCGCGUGUGUGAAGAAGGCCCUAGGGUUGUAAAGCACUUUCAAUAGGGAGGAAAACCUGUCGGUCAAUACCCGGCAGCUUGACAUUACCUAUACAAGAAGCACCGGCUAACUACGUGCCAGCCGCCGCCGUAAGAC
rnacentral:rRNA from 1 species